CCUACGGGAGGCAGCAGUAGGGAAUUUUCCACAAUGGGCGAAAGCCUGAUGGAGCAAUACCGCGUGCAGGAUGAAGGCCUUCGGGUCGUAAACUGCUUUUAUGUGCGAAGAAUUUGACGGUAACACAUGAAUAAGGAUCGGCUAACUACGUGCCAGCAGCCGCGGUCAUACGUAGGAUCCAAGCGUUAUCCGGAAUUACUGGGCGUAAAGAGUUGCGUAGGUGGCAUUAUAAGUGGAGCGUGAAAGCGUGCGGCUCAACCGCAUUAUUGCGUUCCAAACUGUGAAGCUUGAGUAUGGGAGAGGUAGAUGGAAUUUCUAGUGUAGGAGUGAAAUCCGUAGAUAUUAGAAGGAACACCGAUGGCGUAGGCAGUCUACUGGCCCAUUACUGACACUAAGGCACGAAAGCGUGGGGAGCAAACGGGAUUAGAUACCCCGGUAGUCCACGCUGUAAACUAUGGAUGCUAGCUGUGACACACAUCGACCUGUGUCGUAGCGAAGUUAACGCGUUAAGCAUCCCGCCUGGGGAGUACGGUCGCAGAUAAACUACAANAGAGUAGACGCGUGAGACGUGCCGACGGACGACGACGAGGGAGGAGG
rnacentral:rRNA from 1 species